GCUGACUUCUCUCCCUCAAACUUUAGUCAGGUGAUCUGCUGAUAUCAUUCAGCUCAUAAGAAAAAUACUUCAGACCACAGCUCCAUAGAAGAGAAGACAAAUCAGGUUCUAGAUGGGACAUUUGGAGCUGGAAGGAUGGCUACGUGCAAUACAGAAUACAUGUUGCUACUUAAGAAAAUUCCUAGGAUGGGCUGGCUUUUAGCCCCAAACCUGCUGGUUAUGAAGACAAAGAGCUGUUUUCCACAAAGGAAUGAAGUACUGAUGGCUCUUUACUAUGAGAAAUGACUCUGGUUGGUAAUCUCUCAUCCUGUCUCCUGACAAAAGCAUUUUGUAAUCCGACUUGUCUCACUGUGGUGAAGGAUUUUUUAGUUAACAGAAGCUGUAAAAAUCUAUCGGCAGGAAAUAUUUACUUGGAAUGGGUCAUGUGGAAACAUCCAUGCAUGAUCACCGGCAAGCAGUGGAGUUGCAGACACCCACAAACGACUAACUUCUUAUCAGUCUUGAACUGGAGUCUGGCCACACGCACCCCACACACCAUGGAUGCUGUUUCGUUACUCUUAGCAUGCCUGAUGCCAGUCUCAACUUGUUCUGACUUUAAGCUUUCCUGACAUCAUUCCUACAACGCUGUCCAUCUAUAUUCAUUUUUAGUGAUCUGGCCUUACAUGAAUUUCUUAUGUGUGUCUUUUUAUUUUUAAUUUCAGCUCAUCACUAAGCUUUCAGAUGUCUGCCAUUUUCUCUCUCUCAUUGGAAUUGUUUGUGCCUGCACCUUAUGUAAUUCCUUUGAGAAUUCCCUCCCAUAUCGGGCUUCUUUCCACACAAGUUCAUCUAGCUGUGGGAUCCUAUCUACCUUUUGUAUGAGCAUAUUAAAAUUAACUUUCCUGAAAUCCAAGGUACAUAUUUGAAUACACUCACCAGGAGCGUAGCUAGGUGAGAAGAGACCAGUGUUCUCCCUCUCUCCGGCAGCCCCUUGGGUGAGGGAGAUGAUGAAGAAGAUAGGGAGGGGUGGAGCUGAUGGCCCCUCAGGAGCUGGGGCUCCCAGAUUCUUUGAACCCAUCCGCUCAAUUAUAGCUACACCCCUGACACUCACCUUGAGGUUUUCAUAAGUUCAGGAAUUCCAGCAUUAUAUGAUCACUCACCAUGAUCCCCAAGUUUCCACUAUUUCAAACUAAUUGACUAACUUGUUCCAAUUGGUUAGGACUAGGCCAAGACAGCUGAUCCUUUUUUUCCUUCCUUCAGCUGCUUAGAGAGGAAGUUGUCAUCAAGGCAUGUCAGGAAUUUAUUGGAGAUUCAAUGCCUUUCUCCAGCAGAAAUCAAAAUAAUUGAAGUCUCCAUCACUACUAAUUAUUUCUUAAAAGAAUUGUAAUUUGUUGAAGAAAGCAUCAUCUUUAUAGCAAAGGUAAAUCUUAUAGCUGAUGAUUCACGAAGAGGUGCGAGCGGGAAGUCCAUAUUUGUUUAUUUGUUGUGAAUGUUAAUAAGAAUAUUGUCAAAAUCAAU